rnacentral:rRNA from 1 species
UGUAAGCGUAUAUUUAAGUUGUUGCAGUUAAAAAGCUCGUAGUCGGAUUUUGGCUGAGAACGAUCGGUCCGCCGUUAGGUGUGCACUGAUUGGUCUCAGCUUCCUGGUGAGGAGGUGUGCUUCACGGCCACUUAGUCACCGUGGUUACUUUGAAAAAAUUAGAGUGUUCAAAGCGGGCUUACGCUUGAAUAUAUUAGCAUGGAAUAACACCAUAGGACUCCUGUCCUAUUUCGUUGGUCUCGGGACGGGAGUAAUGAUUAAGAGGAACAGUUGGGGGCAUUCGUAUUUCAUUGUCAGAGGUGAAAUUCUUGGAUUUAUGAAAGACGAACUUCUGCGAAAGCAUUUGCCAAGGAUGUUUUCAUUGA